CUGCAGCCCUGUGCCAGAUGAGGCCAAGAGGCAUACAGGAGAAGCUGUCCAGUUGGUGGAUGUUUCCUGCCCUCUGCUGUUCAGCUGGAGAGAUGUCCCAGGUUCUCCAAGGACAUCAGGACAAAUAUAUUUAACCAAAAUCAGUCCAGGCUGGCUGUAUCUGUGGGCAUCAGCUGCUGGCAUGCAUUGGUGACUUGACUGUUGAAGACAGAGAGUAGCAAGAGCUGCAACCCUGUGUCACAUGAGGCCAUGAGGCAUACAGGAGAAGCUGUCCAGUUGGUGGACCUUUACUGCCCUCUGCUGUUCAGCUGGCGAGAUGUCCCACCUUCUCCAAGGACAUCAUGUCAAAGAUACGUAACGAAAAUCAGUCCAGGCUGGCUGUAUUUGUGGGCCUCAGCUGCUGGCCUCUCCCUUGGUGAUGUCAUGUGCAUGGUAUGGCACAGCAGGUACAAUGUUGACAGUUGCCAUUGUCCCUCAGGCACUUGUGACUUGAAGGUCAUAGAGACAGAAUAGAAACAGCUGCAGCCCUUUGCCAGAUGAGGGCAAGCUGAGCACAACUGAGCUCUGCAAAGCUUUCCUGAGGAAAAAAUAUUCAUAUAUACAGAAAUACUCUUCUCCUGAUAAACAGCCUUCCUAGGAUGAGAUAUUUCUCUUCAAAGAUCCAAGACUGCUAAGAAUAAGAACAAGGACUGACAUCCUUGACAUGAGGGUACAAAUCCAAAUCAGUAACCAAUUAGGAGAGACUAUGUGCCCUUGUGCACAAACAUAGACAAAGUGAAGAGUGGGAUAUCUCCCUUUGGCAACUGAAAGCUACUGAGGACACCCCUGUGAGUGCAGAAGAUUUAAAUACGUUGUGCAACCUUGUACUUGUAUAAUGCUAUGCACAUGUAAUAGGUAGGUGUGACUAAUGUAUUAGAUAGGCAUACAGUGAAAACUUUUUGAUUAUAAAUAGAAGCCAGUGUAAAGUCUUGGUUUGCUUGAUUUUGAGUGUAUUCCACUGUGUGCCCUGCACAGACUAAGUCAGUGUCUCCUCUCUAAAGAACUGUCUUUUUGAAUGUGUUUCAGGAGAUUUAAAAUUGAGAACAGAUUUACAAAGUAUCUU